UGGUUUAGAGCAUAACGCCAUGGGAUGUGAAAGCAGACAUCAAAGUGGUAACUGAUGGGAAAGUUUUUUCAGUACAUUGUGCUAGCAAAUGCACAGGAUAUGUUCCAAAAUUGCUGCUCUCCUCCAUUCUACUUCAGGCUUUUCAGCAGACAAGAGCAAUAAGCACCCUGAUGCUUCUGUGUUACCACUUCUUGCAAGACACAGAAUAUCAAUAUGGACCCUCAGACUCCUAAGUGCCGUUCUGAGGAAGGAACUAUGGCUGCGUCAUGUGAAGUACACCAAGUUAGAAGUGGUUCAUCCCAGUGGCUGGUGGCAAUCCCAGCAACAUGUUGUCGGUGAACCAAGCAGAAAUGGAACUGCCAUUUUUUAAAUAGAAGGUUUUUGAUGGAGAUUUAUGGGACUGGUCGUCGUCUUCAACAUCCUCUUGUCUCAGUUGCAGUUUCCUAGAAGCAAGCAUAUUCUUCACAACAUUUUUCACAAACAAACCUUAUAAUUUCCCUUUUCACAUUAUUGAUUCCAAGCAUUUCUUGGAGACAUCUGCAGACAUUGUUGAAAGCACUGAAGUCAAUAGCAAGCUUGGGCAGAAGAGUAGACCACAGGUGAACUGUACUAUAAAGGAUUGUAAACAAACUCUGAUGCUGCUCUUACCAACCAAGAAAUAGAACGGAGCUAUAGCCCUCAUGUCUAUUUUAUCUUUCCAUGUGGCAAGAAGACUUAGUAGAUCUGAAAGCAGUUAAUGAAAGCAGUAUAAAACUAAAUCUACUGUAGCUUGUGGUCAGCCAAAUAUGCAGUAAUAUGCUUGUUAAAAUCAACAAUAACUACUUGGAAUUGGCCAAGAAACAUACUACUUUGGAAGGACUUGAGGAUCAUAUAUAGGAAAGGAACAAGACCAAAAUGUUGCAUUAGGGGGAAAAUUAAAUAGCGGAAGAAAAAGCAGUGGGGUUUCAGAUAUGAUUUUUAGCUAUGAUUUUUUUUAUGUAGCAAUUAGAAUGGGAGUCAGGAAAUAUCUCUAUAAUCACUGACAUGAUCUCAGGCAAAACAGUUACCACCUGGAGUUCCAGUGUUCCUACCUGUAAAAUCUGAGAAACACCUGGAAAUUCACAAGGAAGAGGUUAUAUAUAUAAUGUCUAGAUCAUACUGUUUAGAAGGACUCUACCUAUGGGCAAUAUGUGGUUCUUCACUCAUUGGCCCAGCUCCUUCUGAGAUUAAAGAUUAAACUAAAACCAGCAGCUCACAUUUUAGUCCCUCAGAAUUGUAAGGGUCAGGAACAUGCAACUGCAUUUGGAGCUGGAGGGAACCUAAAGGAAAAAGAAAUCCUUUGAAUUAACAAGUAAAAGAGAUGUCAUAUGGCUGUGAUUUUGGCCUGCUGGUUAAGUUAUGCAGGGUGCACGGAGUACUAUCUGCUCUCGUAGGAAAUAGCUGUCAAAUUGAGUAGAAGAUAUUCUACAACAGCAUAUGAUGGAAAGAUUUGCCAAAUUUGCCUCUACUUUUUCCCCUUAGUUUUGACUAUCUUCAACAACUUUCAGGUUUUAGAGGAACAGGGAAGACAUUUUGAAAUGUCGAUAUUUGCAUUUCUCUGUCAGAACCUCGCAGCGUUGAGCAGCAGUAGCAUCACAGAGCUCUUCCCAUGUCCUCUCCCAUUGCACUUUUCAUCUCUUGCUGAGGACAAAACUUAGGAUGAGCUUAUGGUUUUGCUGCUGUUGCUGAAGUUGUCAAAAAAACCAGUCUUAGUCUCUGGGUGUACUUCAGCAGUCCAUUUAUCCAGCUGAAUUAAACAGCUGAAGCUCUGCUGAUUUCAGGAAAAUCAAUAAAGAUGUGACAAUUUGCCUUGGCUGAUGAGAUGGCCUGGGAUACCACUUUCAAUGCCAAGCGGGAACUCAGUCUGCUGACAAAGAGCUGUCAGCAUGUCGUAGUGUUUGUAAGAUUCGUUGCAUAAUGUCACUUAAAGAGAUGGUAAGGGGAAAAGGAGACACCGAAAAGUAGCGGCUGUGGGCAGAAGGCCAGAAGCAGUCAUUUCACUGCCAUAUCCAUUAAAAGAAAAGGGGAAAAACACAUCUGUGGCAGCUAAAUUGGUAUAAUAAAGUCAGCAGAUGAAAGCAAAAAGAUCAGAAGAAAAGAAACACAAAACAUAGAAAAAUGAAACUGGAGAAGUUUAAACGUGCUUUUUAUUUCCGGAAGUUUUCAAUGGAAUAAGAGGUAGAGGAAAACAUUUUAUUAAAAAAAUAUGAAGAGUAGAGACUCUUUCCUCCUCGUGCGAGGAAAUUGCUCACAGAAGGAAGCCAGGGUUGUAGCACAGCGUAUGCCUCUGCACUCCCAGCCAUGAGGAAGAGAUCCCGUCACAAGUGAGACCAGGGCAUGGCUGGUGCUGGAAAAUGUCUGAGGAGGUGCCAUGAUUCCCAGCAGUUCUGUUUCUUUUGCCUUUAGGAUGACACUUUUUAAAAAAGAACUUCCAACUACUUUUCGCGAAUGACUUCAUGGCACAUUUCACAAACAUGUUGAUCCUUGUGUCCUGGCAAAAUUCCAGUUUGGGUAAUUGCAUCUGCAUCGGGUAAUUACAUCUGCAUAAGCUCAGCGAGAGAUAUCAUCCAGAGCACAGGACGAAUCCUGCACACAAGCUGCUGCCUUCAACUUUAAAAAGAGAUCCUGAAGUUUGUGUAUUGUUAAAUGGUAUUGUAGUUUUUAACCCAAGGAUGGUAAUGGUAAAAUCAGGGUGACUAUGUUGCUGCUUGCUUAUGGUAUGCUAAUCAGUUGAAGUCUGCGGAGUACUUCUACAUCCUUCAGGGUAAAGACAGUCCCGGAAAUGUAUGCUACUUCACAAUGAAAAGAGUAGGGUGCAUAUAUUAGGAAACGUAAAGAAAAGAGAAGUAGGAAAGGUUAAAGCUAUAGAAGAGAUUAGAGGAGAGAGGGAGAGAGGCUGACUGGAAGAAAAAUGGCAAGGAAGAAAAAUUAAUUGCACACAUUCAAUGUCACAUCCAAGCUACUACAAAUAGUCUGUGAUAUUAUUAUUACAAGAAAAUAUUAAAAAAAAAUACUAAAGGCUCACAUAAAAUCCAGUGUUCCCAUUGUAUUUUAAGGCUAUUAAUAUACUGCUAUACAUUGCACUUAAAAUACAGAAGCAGAACUUUGCUUGCUAUUAUUCAAAUACAAGUAAUGUUUGAUGGCUGUCAUGAAGUUCCAGUGUGUAUCCUUAUAUAAGGUGAUAUUUGAAUUCACAAGACCUCACUGAAGUUCGGUCCAGCUGACACUGAGAUUUUCUCAAAGUAUUUGUAAAUAUACUGAGCUCGUGAACACAUUUAUCCGUAUUAUUGUAAAGGAAAUGCACUUAUUUAUGAAACACUGAGAGUUUGCUUAUAAAUAGCUAAUUAUAUAUUCACAGCUGACAUCAUCAAUAGAACAGAUACAUUUUAGCCAGUAGAACUGGUACUGCUCUGAUCGCUGUCAAUUUAAUUCAUGGAUCACUGACAUGUCAAUGUACAAUUGUGUUAGCAGAGGGAGUUUAGGGAACGCAGAAGUAAUGAAUUCUGAAAGGGUGUAUUGCAUAGGAUACUUUUUUGGGAGGACUGCUGAAGAACAGGACUGUGGAAGGAAGAUACCUUGGUAAAAUAAGUUUUUGAUGCAUGGUCAUCUGUCAGUUAUUGCAAUGUCAGAACUGGGCAUCUCCUCUUCUAAUGAAAUAAAUCCAAAUAAAAAAAACCUCUGAAUAUAAAUAGACUAUUUGCACUUAAUUCAUUUAAGUCUAGCCUACCUGGCUGCAUCUGGUUCCAGAAAAUGGAAUGAGCCACUCAGAGCAGUCCCAUGUUUUCUCUAUGGUGGCUUUAGCCACUAAUCUAUUGUUUAAGAGAAAGAAGGGGCAGAACAACUCAUAUUUCUCCCCUUUUAUUGCUGUCCUGUAAAAUGUAAGUGAUGGCCAUGGUUUUGUUUCCCAUGACUACAAUUAGUCAUAUUUAGAGCAUCCACCUCAUCAGAUGGGUAAAAAUCUGCUUUGUGGAUUCUGUU